CUGCCCCUGCGCGGGGGAUAACAGGAGGAAACUCCUGCUAAUACCGCAUAGCCAUGAGCACCGCAUGGAGCUCAUGCCAAAUAUCCUUUCGGGGACAGCGCAGGGAUGGACCUAUGGCGCAUUAGCUAGUUGGCGGGGCAACGGCCCACCAAGGCAACGAUGCGUAGCCGGCCUGAGAGGGCGGACGGCCACAUUGGGACUGAGACACGGCCCAGACUCCUACGGGAGGCAGCAGUAGGGAAUUUUCGGCAAUGGGGGAAACCCUGACCGAGCAACGCCGCGUGAGCGAAGAAGGCCUUCGGGUCGUAAAGCUCUGUUGUAAAGGAAGAACGGCGCAUACAGGAAAUGGUAUGCGAGUGACGGUACUUUACCAGAAAGCCACGGCUAACUACGUGCCAGCAGCCGCGGUAAUACGUAGGUGGCGAGCGUUAUCCGGAAUCAUUGGGCGUAAAGAGGGAGCAGGCGGCCGCAAGGGUCUGUGGUGAAAGACCGAAGCUAAACCUCGGUAAGCCAUGGAAACCGGGCGGCUAGAGUGCGGAAGAGGAUCGUGGAAUUCCAUGUGUAGCGGUGAAAUGCGUAGAUAUAUGGAGGAACACCAGUGGCGAAGGCGACGGUCUGGGCCGC
rnacentral:rRNA from 1 species